GUGUUUAAUCAGACUGUGGCGUCUUCCUCAUUCAGAGGUGUGGGGAAGCCAAUCGACAGUUGUGGACAGAACAACUUAACUGGCUGCAGGGAAUUCGUCACCGCCAUCCGGUUAUGUUUACAUAGAGGAACUGGCCAGGUUCUCUCUCUGUCUAGAGAUGAAUGAUGGCGAGCUGAAUUACUAUGGCUAGGAGCCUAACAUCUGAGCAGCAUCUACUAAUACAGGUUGUCUGCAGCCUGUCCCCAACACACGUCUCCAUAGACUAGCGCUUCAGUCCCACAUGCACAUCCUUUCCCUGGACAAUAACCAAUGGACUUAUUAAUAUACAUUCUCAUAAAACUCUUGUGGGUUUGUCGUGUUAGUCUUCAAGAAACCAAACAUCGCUGGGACAGUUUUUUCCUCUUUUUCUUUUUGCUCUUGUGUGUGGUAUUUGCUGUAAUUUCUGUUGUUAUAUCUUACUUGAACAAUAACCUCAAAGUGCACUUGAUUUAUAUUUGGUUGAACUGCAGUCUGUAAAUAUUUUGUGUUUUUCCUAUGUUUUUUCUUUCAUUAUUUUUGGUUGUAAAUAUUGUUUAAUCACUUUAAUACAUGGUACCUACACCAAAUUUAAAAUCAUGUUUCUGUGUUACUGACCAACAGCUCCUAUAGCAGAAUUUAGACUUCUGUGAUUUAACUAGCCUAUAUUGCU